rnacentral:sRNA from 1 species
AUGUCAAACAUUAUAAAAUUCGCAAACUUGACAAUGGUGGAUACUACAUUACCACCCGGGCCCAGUUUGAAACACUUCAGCAGCUUGUACAACAUUACUCAGAGAGAGCUGCAGGUCUCUGCUGCCGCCUAGUAGUUCCCUGUCACAAAGGGAUGCCAAGGCUUACCGAUCUGUCUGUCAAAACCAAAGAUGUCUGGGAAAUCCCUCGAGAAUCCCUGCAGUUGAUCAAGAGACUGGGAAAUGGGCAGUUUGGGGAAGUAUGGAUGGGUAUGCUGAGACUCAAUUACUCUUUUAUUAGCUUCCCCGUUUGGGAAAUCCCAAACACCAAAGAUGGAAGGUGAAAAUAAAGACUGCGUUACCGGGAAGAAAGUUUGAAUUACCAAUAGUGGGGAAUAAUAAUUUCAAUUUUGGUUUUAACAUUCUGGAAUUUCUAAAA